rnacentral:rRNA from 1 species
CCUACGGGUGGCAGCAGUGAGGAAUAUUGGUCAAUGGGCGUAAGCCUGAACCAGCCAAGUCGCGUGAGGGAUGAAGGUUCUAUGGAUCGUAAACCUCUUUUAUAAGGGAAUAAAGUGCGGGACGUGUCCCGUUUUGUAUGUACCUUAUGAAUAAGGAUCGGCUAACUCCGUGCCAGCAGCCGCGGUAAUACGGAGGAUCCGAGCGUUAUCCGGAUUUAUUGGGUUUAAAGGGUGCGUAGGCGGCCUUUUAAGUCAGCGGUGAAAGUCUGUGGCUCAACCAUAGAAUUGCCGUUGAAACUGGGAGUCUUGAGUAUGUUUGAGGCAGGCGGAAUGCGUGGUGGAGCGGUGAAAUGCUGAGAUAGCACGCAGAACCCCGAUUGAGAGGGAAGCCGGCCAAGCCAUGACUGACGCUGAUGCACGAAAGCGUGGGGAUCAAACAGGAUUAGAUACCCGAGUAGUC